rnacentral:rRNA from 1 species
GACGACUAAUACCCCAUAGCAUCACUUUAAGGCAUCUUUUAGUGAUUAAAGAACUUCGGAUAAGGAUAGGCUCGCGUGACAUUAGCUAGAUGGCGGGGUAACGGCCCACCAUGGCGACGAUGUCUAGGGGUUCUGAGAGGAAGGUCCCCCACACUGGAACUGAGACACGGUCCAGACUCCUACGGGAGGCAGCAGUGAGGAAUAUUGGUCAAUGGUCGAGAGACUGAACCAGCCAUGCCGCGUGAAGGUCACGGCCCUAUGGGUCUUAAACUUCUUUUGUAAGGGAGCAAUAAGGUUCACGUGUGGACUGAUGAGAGUACCUUACGAAUAAGCAUCGGCUAACUCCGUGCCAGCAGCCGCGGUAAUGCGGGGGAUGCAAGCGUUAUCCGGAUUUAUUGGGUUUAAAGGGUGCGUAGGCGGCCUGUUAAGUCAGCGGUGAAAUUCAGGGGCUCAACCUCUGCCGUGCCGUUGAUACUGGCAAGCUGGAAUGCGGAUGCCGUUGGAGGAAUGUGUGGUGUAGCGGUGAAAUGCAUAGAUAUCACACAGAACACCGAUUGCGAAGGCAUCUGACGAAUCCGCAAUUGACGCUGAUGCACGAAAGCGUGGGGAUCAAACAGGAUUAGAUACCCUGGUAGUCCACGCUGUAAACGAUGAUGACUAACCGUCGGCGAUACACUGUCGGUGGCCAAGCGAAAGCGAUAAGUCAUCCACCUGGGGAGUACGACCGCAAGGUUGAAACUCAAAGGAAUUGACGGGGGCCCGCACAAGCGGAGGAACAUGUGGUUUAAUUCGAUGAUACGCGAGGAACCUUACCCGGGCUCGAACGGCAGGGGAAUCACUCAGAGAUGGGUGAGUCUUCGGACUCCUGUCGAGGUGCUGCAUGGUUGUCGUCAGCUCGUGCUGUGAAGUGUCGGCUUAAGUGCCAUAACGAGCGCAACCCUUGCCGUCAGUUGCCAUCAGGUAAAGCUGGGGACUCUGGCGGGACUGCCACCGCAAGGUGUGAGGAAGGGGGGGAUGACGUCAAAUCAGCACGGCCCUUACGUCCGGGGCGACACACGUGUUACAAUGGUGGGUACAGAGGGAUGCUACCAGGCGACUGGAUGCGGAUCUCGAAAACCCAUCCCAGUUC